UACGGAGGGGGCGAGCGUUAUUCGGAAUUAUUGGGCGUAAAGCGCGCGCAGGCGGCUUGACGCGCCCGACGUGAAAGCCCCCGGCUUAACCGGGGAGGGUCGUCGGGUACGGUCAGGCUUGAGGGCGGGAGAGGGUGGUGGAAUUCCCGGUGUAGUGGUGAAAUGCGUAGAGAUCGGGAGGAACACCUGUGGCGAAGGCGGCCACCUGGGCCGACCCUGACGCUGAGGCGCGAAGGCGUGGGGAGCGAACGGG
rnacentral:rRNA from 1 species